rnacentral:rRNA from 1 species
UACGUAGGGUGCAAGCGUUACUCGGAAUUACUGGGCGUAAAGCGUGCGCAGGCGGUUAUGCAAGACAGAGGUGAAAUCCCCGGGCUCAACCUGGGAACUGCCUUUGUGACUGCAUAGCUAGAGUACGGUAGAGGGGGAUGGAAUUCCGCGUGUAGCAGUGAAAUGCGUAGAUAUGCGGAGGAACACCGAUGGCGAAGGCAAUCCCCUGGACCUGUACCGACGCUCAUGCACGAAAGCGUGGGGAGCAAACAGG